rnacentral:rRNA from 1 species
CCAGCAAUGCCGCGUGAGUGAAGAAGGCCUUCGGGUUGUAAAGCUCUUUUACCCGGGAAGAUAAUGACCGUACCGGGAGAAUAAGCCCCGGCUUAACUCCGUGCCAGCAGCCGCGGUAAUACGGAGGGGGCUAGCGUUGUUCGGAAUCACUGGGCGUAAAGCGUGCGUAGGCGGCCAUUCAAGUCAGAGGUGAAAGCCCAGGGCUCAACCCUGGAACUGCCUUUGAAACUAGAUGGCUGGAACACGGGAGAGGUGAGUGGAAUUCCGAGUGUAGAGGUGAAAUUCGUAGAUAUUCGGAAGAACACCAGUGGCGAAGGCGGCUCACUGGACCGUUGUUGACGCUGAGGCACGAAAGCGUGGGGAGCAAACAGGAUUAGAUACCCUGGUAGUCCACGCCGUAAACGAUGAUAACUAGCUGUUGGGGCUCUUGGAGCUCCAGUGGCGCAGCUAACGCA